CAGAGAUAUCAGCGACCCAAAUGACUGUGGAAAACAUGUUAAAUUUUCAUUUGUUUGGAUGCCUGUGAGUGCUGUUACUGAUCUUCAGACAAAUUACAGCUCUUAUUUAUUAGCAGAAUCAGUUUUGAAAAGUGGUUGGAAGAUUUUUGCAAAUUUUAAUAGUGUGCUUGAACAAUUAAAUUCAUAUGAUCAUUGGGGAGAAAGUAUUGGAACAGUGAUUAUCGACAAUGAUCCUGAACAGGAAGUGUAUUUGUGGGGAAUUAGAAGGCGAAGCAGGAGUGA